ACAUGAUAAAUGGUAUUCAUCGAUAUGUUGACGAUAUUGGCACGGCCGACGACAUUAAAAGAUGGCCAUUCUACAUCUUGUCCUUCAAUAUACUCUGUGAGGCAAAUGGGAUCUACUACCCGCUAGAAAUUGGACUCGUAGAGUACUCAAUUGAGCAAGGUCUCAUACGAGCCUUCCACAAAUUCGUCGACCCAGGUCCAAUACCUCUUGGCUUUUGCAAGUGCUGCAAAAAGCCACAG
rnacentral:lncRNA from 1 species